UGGGGAAUAUUGCACAAUGGGCGCAAGCCUGAUGCAGCGACGCCGCGUGGGGGAUGAAGGCCUUCGGGUUGUAAACUCCUUUCGCUAUCGACGAAGCCACUUGUGGUGACGGUAGGUAGAUAAGAAGCACCGGCUAACUACGUGCCAGCAGCCGCGGUAAUACGUAGGGUGCAAGCGUUGUCCGGAAUUACUGGGCGUAAAGAGCUCGUAGGUGGUUUGUCGCGUCGUCUGUGAAAUCCCGGGGCUUAACUUCGGGCGUGCAGGCGAUACGGGCAUAACUUGA
rnacentral:rRNA from 1 species